rnacentral:rRNA from 1 species
UACGUAGGGGGCAAGCGUUGUCCGGAGUUACUGGGCGUAAAGCGCGCGCAGGCGGUUCUCCAAGUCAGUGGUGAAAGCCCGGAGCUCAACUCCGGAACUGCCAUUGAAACUGGUGAACUUGAGGACGAGAGAGGUGAGUGGAAUUCCCAGUGUAGAGGUGAAAUUCGUAGAUAUUGGGAAGAACACCAGUGGCGAAGGCGGCUCACUGGCUCGUAUCUGACGCUCAGGCGCGAUAGCGUGGGGAUCAAACAGG